GUGGCUUAAUGGUUAAGCGUUCGGCUGAUAACCAAAAGGUUGUCGGUUCGAACCCACC
rnacentral:tRNA from 1 species